AGAGGAAGUAAAAGUCGUAACAAGGUUUCCGUAGGUGAACCUGCGGAAGGAUCAUUACCUAGAGUUGUAGGCUUUGCCUGCUAUCUCUUACCCAUGUCUUUUGAGUACCUUCGUUUCCUCGGCGGGUCCGCCCGCCGAUUGGACACAUUUAAACCCUUUGUAGUUGCAAUCAGCGUCUGAAAAACUUUAAUAGUUACAACUUUCAACAACGGAUCUCUUGGUUCUGGCAUCGAUGAAGAACGCAGCGAAAUGCGAUAAGUAGUGUGAAUUGCAGAAUUCAGUGAAUCAUCGAAUCUUUGAACGCACAUUGCGCCCCUUGGUAUUCCAUGGGGCAUGCCUGUUCGAGCGUCAUUUGUACCUUCAAGCUUUGCUUGGUGUUGGGUGUUUGUCUCGCCUCUGCGCGCAGACUCGCCUCAAAACAAUUGGCAGCCGGCGUAUUGAUUUCGGAGCGCAGUACAUCUCGCGCUUUGCACUCAUAACGACGACGUCCAAAAAGUACAUUUUUUACACUCUUGACCUCGGAUCAGGUAGGGAUACCCGCUGAACUUAAGCAUAUCAAUA
rnacentral:rRNA from 1 species